UACGGAGGGUGCAAGCGUUAAUCGGAAUUACUGGGCGUAAAGCGCACGCAGGUGGCUGAGCAAGUCGAUUGUGAAAGCCCUGGGCUUAACCUGGGAAUGGCGCUUGUUACUGGCAGACUAGAGUACGUCAGAGGGGGGUGGAAUUCCACGUGUAGCAGUGAAAUGCGUAGAGAUCGGGAGGAACACCGGUGGCGAAGGCGGGUCUCUGGGCAUCUCCUGACGCUGAGGCGCGAAAGCGUGGGGAGCAAACGGG
rnacentral:rRNA from 1 species